GUCGAGCGGUAACAGAUCUAGCUUGCUAGAUGCUGACGAGCGGCGGACGGGUGAGUAAUGCAUAGGAAUCUGCCCGGUAGUGGGGGAUAACCUGGGGAAACCCAGGCUAAUACCGCAUACGUCCUACGGGAGAAAGGGGGCUUCGGCUCCCGCUAUUGGAUGAGCCUAUGUCGGAUUAGCUAGUUGGUGAGGUAAUGGCUCACCAAGGCAACGAUCCGUAGCUGGUCUGAGAGGAUGAUCAGCCACAUCGGGACUGAGACACGGCCCGAACUCCUACGGGAGGCAGCAGUGGGGAAUAUUGGACAAUGGGCGCAAGCCUGAUCCAGCCAUGCCGCGUGUGUGAAGAAGGCCUUCGGGUUGUAAAGCACUUUCAGCGAGGAAGAACGCCUAGGGGUUAAUACCCACUAGGAAAGACAUCACUCGCAGAAGAAGCACCGGCUAACUCCGUGCCAGCAGCCGCGGUAAUACGGAGGGUGCGAGCGUUAAUCGGAAUUACUGGGCGUAAAGCGCGCGUAGGUGGCUUGAUAAGCCGGUUGUGAAAGCCCCGGGCUCAACCUGGGAACGGCAUCCGGAACUGUCAAGCUAGAGUGCAGGAGAGGAAGGUAGAAUUCCCGGUGUAGCGGUGAAAUGCGUAGAGAUCGGGAGGAAUACCAGUGGCGAAGGCGGCCUUCUGGACUGACACUGACACUGAGGUGCGAAAGCGUGGGUAGCAAACAGGAUUAGAUACCCUGGUAGUCCACGCCGUAAACGAUGUCGACCAGCC
rnacentral:rRNA from 1 species